GAUCUGUAUUUGGCUUCUUAUGAAAGUGAAAGCCCAGAGAAUCAACCUGAAAAGGACAGGUGGAAAUCCUUAAGAUCCACAAUACUUGGAAAAGCCUGAAGUAGUAGAAAAUGUUACAAGAAGAGAAACUGCUGUUUGCACUAUUGACUAAAUAUGAAGCCUGGCUGGUCCUUGGGCAUUUUUUUAAUAAAAUAAAGACCCUGUAUGUGGUGAGCAGGAUUCAUCAGUAAAUAAAAGUAAAAAAUGUGUGGAGAAAUUAAUUCAUCAGGUGUACUGCACUGUUGCUGGAAUCUGCAAGAGAGGCACUCGUGUCCUGUAAAGCUGGAGGAAGCCAUUAAUGGAUUUUGGCACAGUGAGAGCCAACUGGCUAUUGCAUUUUAAGUAGGCAUUUGAAACUGGAAAAAAAGACAUUCACUGGGGAAGAAAGUUGAAUCAGAAGGCUACCUUAAGAGAACAGCAUUACAAGAACAGUACAGUGCAACUUGGUGCUGUUUCUCCUUACUUGAAGCUGUCUGUGUUUAGAACAUCAGAUUUUUGUAGCUGUACUCUGUUAUUUAUAAAAAGGAAUUUUCUUUUGCAUUUAUCUUUAAAUAAGUUUUGUGAUAAAAGAUGUGAGGACUACUCACUGUUACAAGCUAAAUGUGAACAUUUAAGUUGUUCCACACAGCCAAACAUCUCUGGACAGGUGCAGUGCACGUGUCUAUGACUUUGUCUUCCCCAGUAAUUAUAAUAAUCCUGAUAAAUUCAUAUGUAUGGUAAGCAGGAGACUGUGUGUGGACAUAGCUCCUAAAUCCUUAAAGAAUUUCAAGAUGCACCAUUCUGUGCUCCAUGUCAUAGAGGGAUGAAGCCAUGACUGUGACAUAAAGACCCAUGUCUCACUAGCAACACGGAAUCUGGAGGAGCUUGGCAGGAACAAAUGGGAAUGGUGAUUGGCUGUUGCAGGGAGCUAGGGAGUGGUCUAGUCUGCUGUAAUGCUGGCACCCACAUGAGAGAAGAUUGUAGGGGAUGUAGCAGAUGAGCCACAGUGAUGACCUGACUUGUAAGGACUUAGCAUGUGUGAAAGCACCCAUUCACCUUUGGAGCAGGCAGUUGCAGAAACCGUAGCCAUACUUGGGGGUGGGGAUAUAGAUGCAUAAAACAAGAAAGCCCUACUUUCACAGUAAAUGAUAGCAACAGACUGUGACACCUGACCCUUAACUCCCGAGGAAAAUGAACGGGUUUAUAGUCUGUCACCCUUGAGGCAAAUAAAUUGGAUAAUGGGCUGUUACCCCAGAGGAAUAUCUGGAGAAGCUGCACCGAAGAAGGUCCAAUAAGAGCACACCACAAAACAUUCAGCACUGCAUCUGUUGCCAUCUGUAGUUGGGUAAUGCUGGUUUAUAGCAUAUACAAAUCUUUAAAUAAAUUCAUAUGUCUAACCAUUUAAAAAGUUACGGAUUGAGUGUACAAUAGUGUGUUUUAGUGAAUACAAGAGAGUGUCUUGUAGACCACCAAUUCAUGCAUGCAUAAAGUUGCAUGUACAGCACACAAUACAUGGUAUAUACCCAAUCUGCCCUGCAAUGGCUAAGGUCUUGCCCCCUGUAUUGUACUGUUACCUUGUAUAAGGCUACCGUUAAGAAAUAUUUUGAAUGCUGCUGUGAGUAUUUAUUUGAACUUCUUUCCAGAGAAAAUAUUUACUCAAACAGCAUAGCUACUGGAGAUGGACAGUUACCAGCAUCUUUGUCAUUACUGUAGCGUCAGAUUUGGCCAGUGUAUUAAGCAUACAUAUUAAGUUAUGGGUCAAGGUACUACUAAUAAAUAUGUUUUUGUUUAA